UACGUAGGUGACAAGCGUUGUCCGGAUUUACUGGGCGUAAAGAGCGCGCAGGCGGUCGUUCAAGUCGAGUGUGAAAGCCCCCGGCUCAACUGGGGAGGGUCACUCGAUACUGAUCGACUUGAAGGCAGGAGAGGGAAGUGGAAUUCCCGGUGUAGUGGUGAAAUGCGUAGAUAUCGGGAGGAACACCAGUGGCGAAGGCGACUUCCUGGCCUGUUCUUGACGCUGAGGCGCGAAAGCGUGGGGAGCAAACAGG
rnacentral:rRNA from 1 species